rnacentral:rRNA from 1 species
UGGGGAAUAUUGCACAAUGGGCGCAAGCCUGAUGCAGCCAUGCCGCGUGUGUGAAGAAGGCCUUCGGGUUGUAAAGCACUUUCAGCGAGGAGGAAGGUGGUGGACUUAAUACGUUCAUCAAUUGACGUUACUCGCAGAAGAAGCACCGGCUAACUCCGUGCCAGCAGCCGCGGUAAUACGGAGGGUGCAAGCGUUAAUCGGAAUUACUGGGCGUAAAGCGCACGCAGGCGGUUUGUUAAGUCAGAUGUGAAAUCCCCGGGCUCAACCUGGGAACUGCAUUUGAAACUGGCAAGCUAGAGUCUCGUAGAGGGGGGUAGAAUUCCAGGUGUAGCGGUGAAAUGCGUAGAGAUCUGGAGGAAUACCGGUGGCGAAGGCGGCCCCCUGGACGAAGACUGACGCUCAGGUGCGAAAGCGUGGGGCAGCAAACAGGAUUAGAUACCCUGGUAGGUCCACGCUGUAAACGAUGUCGAUUUGGAGGUUGUGCCCUUGAGGCGUGGCUUCCGGAGCUAACGCGUUAAAUCGACCGCCUGGGGAGUACGGCCGCAAGGUUAAAACUUAAAGG